rnacentral:rRNA from 1 species
CCUACGGGGGGCUGCAGUGGGGAAUAUUGCACAAUGGGCGCAAGCCUGAUGCAGCGACGCCGCGUGAGGGAUGGAGGCCUUCGGGUUGUAAACCUCUUUUAUCGGGGAGCAAGCGAGAGUGAGUUUACCCGUUGAAUAAGCACCGGCUAACUACGUGCCAGCAGCCGCGGUAAUACGUAGGGUGCAAGCGUUAUCCGGAAUUAUUGGGCGUAAAGGGCUCGUAGGCGGUUCGUCGCGUCCGGUGUGAAAGUCCAUCGCUUAACGGUGGAUCCGCGCCGGGUACGGGCGGGCUUGAGUGCGGUAGGGGAGACUGGAAUUCCCGGUGUAACGGUGGAAUGUGUAGAUAUCGGGAAGAACACCAAUGGCGAAGGCAGGUCUCUGGGCCGUUACUGACGCUGAGGAGCGAAAGCGUGGGGAGCGAACAGGCUUAGAUACCCCAGUAGUC